rnacentral:pre_miRNA from 1 species
CCCUCUGCUCUGCCGCGGCCUAUGGCUUUUCAUUCCUAUGUGAUUGCUGCUCCAAACUCACGUAGGGCUAAAAGCCAUGGGGCUGCGGCGAGGGGCCUGCUCC